rnacentral:rRNA from 1 species
UACGGAGGGGGCUAGCGUUGUUCGGAAUUACUGGGCGUAAAGCGCGCGUAGGCGGCUUUGUAAGUUAGAGGUGAAAGCCCGGGGCUCAACCCCGGAACUGCCUUUAAGACUGCAUCGCUUGAAUCCAGGAGAGGUGAGUGGAAUUCCGAGUGUAGAGGUGAAAUUCGUAGAUAUCGGGAGGAACACCAGUGGCGAAGGCGGCGACCUGGGCCAAUAUUGACGCUGAGGUGCGAAAGCGUGGGGAGCAAACAGG